ACCUGGGUGGCUCAGUCAGUUGAGCGUCCGACUUCAGCUCAGGUCAUGAUCUCGCGGUUCGUGAGUUCGAGCCCCGCCUCAGGCU
rnacentral:tRNA from 1 species